UACGAAGGGGGCUAGCGUUGCUCGGAAUUACUGGGCGUAAAGGGCGCGUAGGCGGGUCGUUUAAGUUAGAGGUGAAAUCUCCGGGCUUAACCCGGAAACUGCCAUUGAUACUAUCUGUCUUGAAUACCGUGGAGGUGAGCGGAAUAUGUCAUGUAGCGGUGAAAUGCUUAGAUAUGACAUAGAACACCAAUUGCGAAGGCAGCUCACUACACGAAUAUUGACACUGAGGCACGAAAGCGUGGGGAUCAAACAGG
rnacentral:rRNA from 1 species